GCGCGAGAACUGAAGGAGCUUGCUCUUGAAGGGACAGCGGCGUAAGGGAGAGUAACAGGUAGAUACCUGCCCUCAGGUUUGGGAUAGCGUCGGGAAACUGGCAGUAAUACCAAAUAACAUCUCCGGAUCAAAGCUCCGGCGCCUGAGGAUGGAUCUGCUCACUAUUAGCUUGUUGGUGGGGUAAUGGCCUACCAAGGCGAAGACGGGUAACCGGCCUUAGAGGGUAGUCGGUCACACUGGAACUGAGACACUGUCCAGACUUCUACGGAAGGCUGCAGUCGAGAAUCU
rnacentral:rRNA from 1 species